AACCACAAACUAGCUCUCAUUUUUACAUUCUUCACUGACCCUUUCUCACCAGAAAUUAUUUUCCUCCUUUUUGGCAAUGGCUACUGCUGAGUUUGGCCUUUCAGAAAAUGGUUACUGUGUCUCUUCAACUCAUUUGCACUGGAAAAUGGCUGCUGAUGCCCUCCACUGCUCCCAUUUCAACGAAGUUACUCAAAUGGUGUCACAAUUUGCGGAAGCUAAUACUGUUGAAAUUCAGGGCACUACCUUUACGGUGGCUCAGGUCACGGCCAUUUCUCGUCGAAACCAAGUGAUGGUUUCACUUGAUGAGUCCACUGCUCGAGACCAGGUGGCAAACAGUGCUAACUGGGUUACUAAUGUUGGCACAUAAUUAAAUUAACCUUGCACAAAUAAAUUAUGAAAAGUUAGAAGAGUGAAGAGACUUGAAUAUGAAAAGUGAAAAAACUUGAAUAUGAAUAGUGAAGAGACUUGAAGAUGAAAAGUUAAGAGGCUUGAAUAUGAAAAGAUACACACAUGCAUGAAUAGUCACAACUCCUAGCAUAUAGUGAUAUAGAUGAAUAGUCACUUACAACUCCUAUAUAAAGAGUUGUAUGUGAUGAAGAAUUAUUAACUUUGUGUGCUUGAAAUAAAAGAUUAUUUGAAAGAAUUUUUUCAUACAAAAUUUAUUUCUCUUCUCCAUUAUAUUCUUUAUCAUUUUCUUUGUUUUAUUUCUCCAAAUAUUAAUCAUUCAACUACAAAUUGGUAUCAGAGCCUUGUUCGAUCGAAAUGAACAAUUCUAUUCCUCUUUCUUCCGUUCCCCAAUUAACCAAAGAAAAUUAUGGCAAAUGGAGUAUCCAAAUGAAGGCUCUUCUUGGAUCUCUAGAAGUUUGGGAGAUUGUUGAAAAAUGUUAUAAUGAAGUUGAGGCUGAAGAGGAGGAAGGAUUAACACAAGUUCAAAAAGAGAGUCUAAGAAAAUCAAGGAAGAAAAAUCAGCAAGCUUUAUUUUGGAUAUAUCAAGGAGUUCAAUCAUAUGAAGCGGCUUGGGAAAAAAUAGCUUGUGCCACCACGGCAAAACAAGCAUGGGAAUUUUUACAAAAUUCAUUCAAAGGAGAUGAAAAGGUGAAAAGAGUUCGGUUGCAAACUCUUCGAGGAGAGUUUGAAAGAUUGUAAAAAACAGAGUCAGAAUCAGUUUCUGAUUGCUGUUCACGGGUUUUGUCCAUAGUCAAUCAAUUAAAAAGAAAUGGUGAAACUAUGGAUGAUAUUCGUGGUGUUGAGAAAAUCCUCCGUUCUUUAGAUUCCAGAUUUGACUACAUUAUGGUUGCCAUUGAAGAAUCAAAGGACUUGAGUACCAUGACUAUUGAUGAACUCACAGGUUCGUUGCAAGCCCAUGAAGAAAGAUUAAACAAGAAGAAAAAGGAAGUAGAUCUAGAUCAAGCACUUCAGUCAAAGUUGUCUCUAAAUAAGAAUAAGAGAGAUUUUAAAAAUCAAAGAGGGAGAGAUCGUGGUCGUGGAAGAGGAAGAGGAAGAAAUUUUAGAGGAAGAGGCUCAAAUGCUCGUGAAAGAGGUGAAGAUGUAAGCAUGGAGAAUGGAUGGAAAGAAGCCAACCAAAGUCAAAAUUUUAGAGGAUCACAAAGAGGACGUAGACAUGGAAAUCAAAGAGGAAGAGGUCGUGGCUAUUUUGAAUGUUAUAAUUGUCGCAAACCUGGUCAUUUGGCAAGUGAAUGCUGGUACAAAAAAGAAGAGAAAAAUGAAGCUAAUAUAGUACAAAAUAAUCAAGAGCAAAAGCAAGAAACUUUGUUGCUCGUAUCUCAUGGUGGAGAGAUUGAUGAUGUCUGGUACAUAGACAGUGGUGCUAGCAAGCAUAUGACAGGUAACAAAAAUUUAUUUUCGAAGUUCUUUGAAUCUGAUUGUGGAGAAGUAAAAGUAGGAGAUGGCAAAGCUUACAAAGUUAGCGGUGUUGGUGAGUUGGAGUUCAAAACAAAGCAAGGAAGGGUAGAGAAAAUGUCUGAAGUUUAUUUUGUUCCUGGUCUUAAAAAUAAUCUGCUUAGCGUUGGGCAUCUCUUGAAGAAGGGGUAUGAUAUUCAUUUCCGAGACAUGGCUUGCUAUUUAUCAAAGAAAAAUCAGGUUGUUGCUAGAGUUGGAGUGGCAUCAAAUAAUCUUUUCUCUCUUACCCUUCAAAAUCAGAAUAUGUCUUGUUUUAUUGGUGCUCAUAAAGGAAUUUCAAAGUUAUGGCAUGAUAGAUAUGGACAUUUAAACUAUGGAAAUUUGGAGAUGCUUUCAAGAAAGAUGAUGGUUAGAGGUUUACCAAAAAUCGAUCGGCUUGAUGAUGUUUGUGAAGCAUGUCAACUUGGAAAGCAACACAAAAUUGCUUUUCCUUCUCAAUCCUCGUGGAAAGCAAGAAGACCAUUGCAACUUAUUCACUCAGAUCUUUGUGGUCCAAUGACAGUUUCAUCUUUAGGAGGUAAUCGUUACUUUAUCUCUUUCAUUGAUGAUUACUCAAGAAAGUUAUUGGUGUAUUGUGUCAAAGAAAAAUCAGAGGCUUUUCAGAGAUUCAAAGAUUUCAAGGCAGAAGUGGAGAACUUUACUGGGUUAAAAAUUAACACCUUGCGUACAGAUCGUGGAGGUGAAUAUUUUUCAAAAGAAUUUGAGAAAUAUUGCCAAGAUAGUGGCAUCCGGCAUGAAAUGAAAGUCCGCCAUACACCUCAGCAAAAUGGUGUGUGUGAAAGAAAGAACAGAACAAUUAUGGAAAUGGCUAGAUGUCUUCUUAAGAAGAAGAGGUUAUCAAGAAGAUUUUGGGCUGAAGCUGUUUCCUGUACAGUUUAUCUUAUAAACAGAUCACCGAUAAGAAGCUUGGAGAAUUGCACACCACAUGAGGCGUGGUAUGGUAUAAAGCCUAGUGUUAGUCAUCUUAGAGUAUUUGGGAGUGUUGCCUACUCUCAUAUUCCAGAUGCAAUGAGAAGCAAGUUGGAUGAAAAGUCAGAGAAAUGCAUUUUCAUUGGCUAUAGUGAAAGAAGUAAGGCAUACAAGUUGUAUAAUCCGGUGACAAAGAAGAUUGUGAUAAGCCGAGAUGUUCGGUUUGAUGAAAAUUCCAUGUUUGAAGAUAUGGAAGUUGAAAAGGAAAAUUUGCCAAUUUUUCCUUUUGAACUUGAAGAAGAAGAAGAGGCAGUAAUUGAGAAUGCUGAAGAUGAUGCUCAAGUAGAAAAUCCUCCUGCUUCCCCAAGUUCUUCAUCAAAUUCUUCUUCAUCCAGCCCGAUCCGAAAAACGAGAAGCAUCCAAGAGUUAUAUGAUGUAACGGAUGAAGUUGUGCAAAAUGAUGCUGUAUUCUUUGCCUUCUUUGCAGGAGAAGAUCCAAUUUCUUUUGAUGAUGCAUAUCAAGAAGAAAUAUGGAGGAAAGCCAUGAAAGAAGAGAUUUGCUCAAUUGAAAACAAUGAUACAUGGGAACUCACAGAUUUACCGCCGCACAAGAAUUCAAUUGGAGUCAAAUGGGUGUACAAGACAAAGAUGAAUCCGAAUGGCUCUAUCAACAAGUACAAGGCAAGACUGGUUGCAAAAGGAUACAAGCAAAAGGAAGGAGAAGAUUUUACAGAGGUAUUUGCUCCAGUUUCAAGACUUGAGACAGUUCGGUUACUUAUUUCUCUUGCUGCCCAAAACAAUUGGAAAAUGUUCCAAAUGGACGUAAAAUCUGCGUUUUUGAAUGGUGUUCUCAAAGAAGAAGUCUAUGUUGAUCAACCACCAGGGUUUGUCAAAAAAAGAGAAGAAGAAAAAGUUUACAAGUUGAAGAAAGCUUUGUACGGGUUGAAGCAAUCACCUAGAGCAUGGUACAGCCGCAUCGAUUCUUAUUUUCAGAAGUGUGGAUUCCAGAAAUCUCCAUAUGAGCAUACUCUCUACAUCAAAGGAAAUUAUCAAGGAAGAUUCAUGGUUGUAAGUCUCUACGUUGAUGAUCUUAUUUUCACAGGAAAUGAUGUGAAGAUGUUGAAAGAAUUUCAGCACUCAAUGAUGGCAGAAUUUAAGAUGAUAGAUUUAGGAGAACUUCAUCAUUUUCUUGGCAUUGAAGUUCAUCAAUCCGAGAAAGGAAUUUUUAUUUCACAAGAGAGCUACGCAAAGGAAGUUUUAAAAAAAUUCAUGAUGGAAAAUGCGAAUCCAGUCUCUACUCUAUGCAUUACAGGUCUGAAGUUAUCUAAAGAGGGUGAAGGAAAGCUUGUCAAUUCCACCAUAUUCAGAAGUUUGGUUGGGAAGUUGAUGUAUCUGACUUCGACAAGGCCUGAUAUCGUGUAUGCUGUUAGCUUGGUAAGUAGAUUCAUGGAGAAACCUUACUCCAAUCACUGGGAGGCUGCCAAGAGAAUAUUGAGAUAUGUGAAGGGAACCAUUGAUUAUGGAAUUUUCUAUAAAGCUAAUACAUUAGUUGAUCUCAUUGGUUAUACGGAUAGUGAUUUAGCAAGAAGCAUUGAUGAUAGCAGAAGCACUUCUGGUUAUGUUUUUCACCUUGGUAGUGGUGCAGUUUCAUGGAGUUCAAAGAAACAAUCAAUUGUGGCGCUUUCGACUACAGAAGCUGAAUAUAUCGCUGCAUCUUAUACAGGAUGUCAAUUGAUUUGGUUACGUGGAAUUUUAGAAAGUCUUAAGCAGAAGCAAAGCAAGUUAACAAUUUUGUUUUGUGACAAUAGUUCUACUAUUUCGGUCACAAAAGAUCCAUUUCUUCAUAGAAGGACAAAACACAUUCGCAUUCGAUAUCACUUCUUGAGGGAACUAGUGAAUAAUGGUGAUGUUCAAGUUGAAUAUUGCAAGACGAAAGAUUAGAUGGCUGAUAUCUUCACAAAGCCUCUAAGUGGACAAGUCUUCAAGAAAAAUGUUGAAAGGUUGGGAGUUCAAAGCAAGUUUAAUUUAAGGGAGGCAUUGUUGGCACAUAAUUAAAUUAACCUUGCACAAAUAAAUUAUGAAAAGUUAGAAGAGUGAAGAGACUUGAAUAUGAAAAGUGAAAAAACUUGAAUAUGAAUAGUGAAGAGACUUGAAGAUGAAAAGUUAAGA
rnacentral:lncRNA from 1 species